UCGAUCUCAAAUCAAGUAAGACUACCCGCUGAAUU
rnacentral:rRNA from 1 species